rnacentral:lncRNA from 1 species
UUGACAAAUCUAGAGUUGAAGAACUUUCACCAAACAUUCCAAAAGAGAAAUAGUGUUCAAAUUUCUUCUAAAAUGCAAAAGGAAAAACUCUAGAGUGUUUUCAAAGUAUAUUUAAACCAGCUCAAAGAGAAAGUGGCCAGCCCUAUUUAUAAAUUCUCUCAGCCACAAAGUACAAGUUGCUUUAAACUCUUAAGGAUAAAUGUAACAUUUAUCCACAAAAGUUUAAACUAAAGACGUGGCUUGGAGGUUGGGGGCAAUUCACCCAGAGGAUCGAGAACUGCAAGAAAGAGAGAGAGAGAUGGAUUUGACGAUGGAUUCAUGUCCCCCUUAUUACGAGGUAUGGGAGAAUAUAUAGUAGAGACCCUUGUAGGCCACACACGUCAUCUUUGAAUUUGUAGGCUUGUCAUUUGACAUAGAUUGUUUAUUAGUUGGAUUACGUGAGUUGAAGUGACAGAUUAAUGAUGCAUAACUAUAAUUUUAUCAGGGUGAUUAGAUCUGGAACGGCCAUGACCUCAACGAGCUGUCAUAUUUGGUGGUACUUAUCAUUUGACAGGGCUUUAUCUAUGCAUUGAAGCUUCAAUUGAGCAAAACAACCCAAUUAGAUGAAGCAUGCGUAGCAAAUGUAAUUAUAGAUGACGACUGUACAGCCUAUAACCUAAGUGUAUUUAUAAUUCAUUAGAGAAGGUUAUGAAAAAUAACUAUUGAAAAAGAAAAUCUAUAUCUCGUCCGUCAUUAAUAGCAAAUAAUAUUUGAAGUACUCUAUUAUUCCGCC